UACGGAGGGAGCUAGCGUUAUUCGGAAUUACUGGGCGUAAAGCGCACGUAGGCGGCUUUGUAAGUUAGAGGUGAAAGCCUGGAGCUCAACUCCAGAAUUGCCUUUAAGACUGCAUCGCUUGAAUCCAGGAGAGGUGAGUGGAAUUCCGAGUGUAGAGGUGAAAUUCGUAGAUAUUCGGAAGAACACCAGUGGCGAAGGCGGCUCACUGGACUGGUAUUGACGCUGAGGUGCGAAAGCGUGGGGAGCAAACAGGG
rnacentral:rRNA from 1 species